rnacentral:tRNA from 1 species
GCAGUCGUGGCCGAGUGGUUAAGGCGAUGGUCUUGAAAACCAUUGGUUUCUUCCCGCGCAGGUUCGAGUCCUGCCGACUGCG